ACGGGUGAGUAACACGUGGGUAACCUGCCUGUAAGACUGGGAUAACUCCGGGAAACCGGAGCUAAUACCGGAUAGUUCCUUGAACCGCAUGGUUCAAGGAUGAAAGACGGUUUCGGCUGUCACUUACAGAUGGUCCCGCGGCGCAUUAGCUAGUUGGUGAGGUAACGGCUCACCAAGGCAACGAUGCGUAGCCGACCUGAGAGGGUGAUCGGCCAGACUGGGACUGAGACACGGCCCAGACUCCUACGGGAGGCAGCAGUAGGGAAUCUUCCGCAAUGGACGAAAGUCUGACGGAGCAACGCCGCGUGAGUGACGAAGGUUUUCGGAUCGUAAAGCUCUGUUGUUAGGGAAGAACAAGUGCAAGAGUAACUGCUUGCACCUUGACGGUACCUAACCAGAAAGCCACGGCUAACUACGUGCCAGCAGCCGCGGUAAUACGUAGGUGGCAAGCGUUGUCCGGAAUUAUUGGGCGUAAAGGGCUCGCAGGCGGUUUCUUAAGUCUGAUGUGAAAGCCCCCGGCUCAACCGGGGAGGGUCAUUGGAAACUGGGAAACUUGAGUGCAGAAGAGGAGAGUGGAAUU
rnacentral:rRNA from 1 species